rnacentral:rRNA from 1 species
UCAGAACGAACGCUGGCGGCAGGCCUAACACAUGCAAGUCGAACGGACCCUUCGGGGUUAGUGGCGCACGGGUGCGUAACGCGUGGGAAUGUACCCUUGGGUAAGGAAUAAUGUCUGGAAACGGGCACUAAUACCUUAUAAUGACUUCGGUCCAAAGAUUUAUCGCCCAAGGAUCAGCCCGCGUUAGAUUAGGUAGUUGGUGGGGUAAGAGCCUACCAAGCCUACGAUCUAUAGGGGGUCUGAGAGGAUGAUCCCCCACACUGGGACUGAGACACGGCCCAGACUCC